GGCUUUGAAGUGUGGACGCCAGUCUGCAUGGAGCCGACCUUGAAAUACCACCCUUUAAUGUUUGAUGUUCUAACGUGGACCCGUGAUCCGGGUUGCGGACAGUGUCUGGUGGGUAGUUUGACUGGGGCGGUCUCCUCCUAAAGAGUAACGGAGGAGCACGAAGGUUGGCUAAUCCUGGUCGGACAUCAGGAGGUUAGUGCAAUGGCAUAAGCCAGCUUGACUGCGAGCGUGACGGCGCGAGCAGGUGCGAAAGCAGGUCAUAGUGAUCCGGUGGUUCUGAAUGGAAGGGCCAUCGCUCAACGGAUAAAAGGUACUCCGGGGAUAACAGGCUGAUACCGCCCAAGAGUUCAUAUCGACGGCGGUGUUUGGCACCUCGAUGUCGGCUCAUCACAUCCUGGGGCUGAAGUAGGUCCCAAGGGUAUGGCUGUUCGCCAUUUAAAGUGGUACGCGAGCUGGGUUUAGAACGUCGUGAGACAGUUCGGUCCCUAUCUGCCGUGGGCGCUGGAGAACUGAGGGGGGCUGCUCCUAGUACGAGAGGACCGGAGUGGACGCAUCACUGGUGUUCGGGUUGUCAUGCCAAUGGCACUGCCCGGUAGCUAAAUGCGGAAGAGAUAAGUGCUGAAAGCAUCUAAGCACGAAACU
rnacentral:rRNA from 1 species